rnacentral:rRNA from 1 species
UACAGAGGUCCCAAGCGUUGUUCGGAUUCAUUGGGCGUAAAGGGUGCGUAGGCGGCGCGGUAAGUCGGGUGUGAAAUCUCGGAGCUUAACUCCGAAACUGCAUUCGAUACUGCCGUGCUUGAGGACUGGAGAGGAGACUGGAAUUUACGGUGUAGCGGUGAAAUGCGUAGAUAUCGAGAGGAACACCUGCGGCGAAGGCGGGUUGCUGGGCUGACACUGACGCUGAGGAGCGAAAGCCAGGGGAGCAAACGGG